rnacentral:rRNA from 1 species
UAAAUACCCAAGAAGAUGAUUUGAUCAUUUUGUUUCCAAGGAAGAACGCUGACAGAAAGAAUCAUAUAUUGAACCUUAGAAUAGCAGACAUUCAGAUCAACUCUGUAGUCCGCAGUGUAGCUCUGCUAGCAGUUUACACUACAAUAAAAGAACAUGUAAAGUAAGAGGAUAAAUAAAUACUUCUCCAGCAGUAUGUGGUUUUCUCAGUGAAAACAAAAUGAAUUCUACAAAACCACAUCUAUGCAGAUAUGCUCCGCAGGAGGAAAAUGCAUGCUUACCCAGUAUAUUAUAUAAAAAAUACCAUAUAAAACCAAUAUAAAUACGACACCAAGACAGCUACUUAUCAGGCUACCACAGGAUGUAACCAAUUGAUGCAAUAACACACACCUAAAGCAGUAGAGUGAAUAAAAAGAGGUGGUUGUGAAGCAGUAGUCAUUGUGUAACAGACAUACAUUUAAUCCUCUAAUGUAGAACCGGAGAUAUCAAUACAUACAUCAAGAUGACUAUUUUGUAGAGUAACUCGAGAAAAGAAUUAACAUGUUUGCCUGUUUUAAAAGCUCAAGUGAAUAUGCAGUUUGAUUACAACCAUACUCAACCAUGUAUCCGGUCAUCUGUUCUUUACUCUCAUGUAAUUAAGAGAAACUCACUUCUUGUAGGUAUCAUGUGACACUGUCUUAUCAACACUAUUAUAAAUAAAAUUAACCAAUGGAAUGCGGCUGGAACCUAGUGGGUGGAGCAAGAGAUUCGAUACUGUACUUCCCCUAAGCUGGUACUGAAGGCAUAUAAUUUAUUCGUCAGAUUUAGGUAUUCUGUGAUGGCCAGGUUAUCAAUGUAGAUGCUUUACAAAUGUGUCAAAAGUGUUCUGUCUCAAUGUAGAUGCAGUAACAUAUAUGUAUUCUGCACAUGCAGUAUUCUUCAUAUAUUCUGCAGAUACAUCAACCCUAUUCUUAUUAUAAAGAUGGCCAGGUUAUCAGUAUUCUUGUUUUAACACAAGUUCAGUCUAAUGAGUACAG